rnacentral:rRNA from 1 species
GAUGAACGCUGACAGAAUGCUUAACACAUGCAAGUCUUUGGCGAAGCUGUGCUUGCACAGCCUAGCCAAGGCGGACGGGUGAGUAACGCGUAAGGAACUUGCCCUGCAGUCAGGGAUAACAGACGGAAACGACUGAUAAGACCUGGUAAAGUCAGGCGGACUCAUGUCCAGCCUGAUGAAAAGAGAUGCUGCAGGAGAGCCUUGCGUCCUAUUAGCUUGUUGGUGGGGUAACGGCCCACCAAGGCGAUGAUAGGUAGCCGGCCUGAGAGGGUGGACGGCCACAAGGGGACUGAGAUACGGCCCUUACUCCUACGGGAGGCAGCAGUGGGGAAUAGUGGACAAUGGGGGCAACCCUGAUCCAGCAAUUCUGUGUGCACGAUGAAGGUUUUCGGAUUGUAAAGUGCUUUCAGCAGAGAAGAAGAAAAUGACGGUACCUGCAGAAGAAGCGACGGCUAAAUACGUG